rnacentral:lncRNA from 1 species
UGGUUAACUCUGAACACUAUAAUUAGUCAAUUCCUUUUCUUUUAAACAGCAAAACCUUUACUGAAACAUUUAGAAAUUUAUAUACGACACUUUCAAACCAGUACUGUGAUCUACAUCUUCAAAUAUAAGAAAACUACACCACUAAUACUGACUUAACAUUUGCAAAGCUUCGGAGUCUUCAGCACGGCAUUUAAAUUAAAAUAUGUUCUCGUUAUAUCAUGUAUUAUAAUAUCUUUUAACUUUUAGUUCCUAUACGUAAGUUAUGGGCUUUACUAAAAUGUUUAUGUGAUCAAAUAUUCAUAAUUUGCUCUUAAUUUCAUGUUCCAUUUCAUUUGUAGUUCAGCUAUUUGUGAAAUAUUUGAAAAGCCCAGCUUAAUGCACGUCCUAAUAUGAAUAAUAUAAAAUAUGUGGAAUAAUGACUGUGUAAAUCUCUGCACAGUAUGACAUUAUGAGUGAUUUUGAGUCAGUCAUCUGUCUUGGCACCAGCUGCAGUUCCAGCAUGACCAACUGGAGUCAAAGUCAAUGGCAGGCUGGAGUUCAUCUUAUCAAAAAGUCAUAAAGCAGAGAGUAGCCUGUCAUUUUAGGAGACACGCUUUUCCUAAAUAGGAACUUAUUGAUAUGCUGUAUACACACAGAAUGAACUUUGAACAGUGUGCCUAUGAUGACGUGACUGAUAAACACACAUUAAUGUGGGAUGGAGGGUUAGAGAUAAACCUCAGGCCAUGUUUAAUUUCGACAGUAGACCCAAGGAAGCCUGCAUGCUGCUGCUCUUCUUCUUUUGUUUGAUUGUGUAAGGAAUGUCUUCUGCAAAUUCUCUCAUGACAAAUAUAUGGCUGAUCUUUUCCCAACAUUUUUAAGAGAUGACCACCAUCACACGUCAAAGUCACAUGUUUCCUUCUUCCUUCCUUCCUCUUUAGAUUGCAAAGACUGGAUUAACAUCUCCUCCUGAGUUCACAAGACCAUGACUAUCGGCAGGAGCUCCAGAAAGAACAAGGCCCCUCAUUCUCCUCCUUUCCUGGACAAGGCUAAUGGAUUCUAUGGGCGCUUGGAUGAGAUGUUUGGAGACGAUGUACAGAUGGAGAGAGAGACCAUAGAAGAACAGAUAGGAACCUUAAACAGGAGCACCCAAGACAAUAGUACAGCUCCAGGCUGGAUAGAAGAAGAUGACCAUGUGGUUGAUUUUAACCAGGGUAUGAUGGAUGACGAUGGGACCACUUUACUGAAGAGAAAGCCCAGCAGACUGAGUCGCCGCUGGAGCAGGAUGAGCUCCAGGAAGGGAAAGUAUGACAAAUUUCCCUCAGAAAAAGAACUUGGUAAUGAGACCAACAAGCCCACCUCUGUAGAUCUAAACCCAGAGGUGCCACCAGCAACCCAAACCCUGGAAAACAGCAAAGAACCAGAACCAACACUGAUCCAUUUCUCUGUGAGGGAGCAUACUGAUGACCAGACUCUGAUAUCAGGGAAGAAAGAAGGAGAACGGGAAAUGGAAGACACAAGAAAAGAGAAGAAGACAGAAGGCAAACUGAAUGGAGAGUCAAUGGAAGUUGUAAAGAGGAACAAUCUCAAGAAUUAUCGCAAGGCCGUGGACAGAGCUUUCCGUAGAGGAUGGGAGACUUUUGUUGCCAAUCUGUACAGUGUGACACUGACACCUAUAUCAUCAACCUCCUCUUCAUCCACACCAUCAGACAAAACUGAAUUGAACAGGAAUCGUGUUUUAGCAGAAUUCAGAUAACAGUAGAACAGACUUAUUUGUAUUUUCAAAUUGAUGAGUAAUUUCAUUUAUUAAUUUAAAUGUGCUCAAAUAUUUAAUAUGCAUCGUUGUUCUUGCAUAAAACGGAUAACCAUCAAUCUUGUUUUAAACUGAUCAUUAUGUAACCUGACAUGAAAGGUCAAUAUUUGAACUUUUUAUCAGUGUAUAAAUUUGUUAUCACAGUGCUAACUAAAGAGGCGUCUACCUGAUCUUUGUUCCCUUGUGAGGAAACAUGAGGCCUAUAAUUAUCCAAUGUGGACAGAUCUUUUUUAUUUGAUGUGAUAAUGUUUUUGAGCUGUGAACAGUAGCAGAGUUCCUGUACUUUGGCGAUGAACGUGUAUUACAGGUUUUGUACCAAAGGGUUAACUCUUAAAAAAAAAAACUGGGAGCUCACGGAUUUUUUUUUUUUAAUGUCAUCAACAGGUAACAUCACUGGCAGUGAAGUAUAUAAAUAACUGAGCCGAGAGAUGAAAUGAAGAUGGCUUUUGUUUUCUUGGGACUUAUUUAUCUUGUCUAACUUAGUUUGCUGAACCCAGUUUCCUAAUGUUAUGUAGGAGAAUUUUUAUUUGUAGCGCCUUUUUUUAUCUGCAUUGUGACAUCAAAGCAGUGCUUAUAAUAAAAAGGAAAAGUGAGAAAAAAGUCAAUCUGUUUGGCUUGAUUCUGUUCUACUGAACAAAAGUGUUGUAGUGUUGUUUCCCAUACGGCAAAAAAUAUUUUUUUGUGACGACAUAUACCAAAAUAUAUAGAUAUAUGCCAAAUAUAGCGACGCUCAAUGAAAUACAUUUUUUAAAUAUAUAUAUAUAUAUAUAUAGUGUGUGUGUGUGUGUGUGUGUGUGUAUAUAUAUAUAUAUAUAUAUAUAUAUAUAUAUACAUA